UAAGCGGAGGAAACCAACAGGGAUUGCCCUAGUAACGGCGAGUGAAGCGGCAACAGCUCAAAUUUGAAACCUGGCGCUUGCGUCCGGAUUGUAAUUUGUAGAGGAUGCUUCUGGGCAGCGGCCGUUCUAAGUUCCUUGGAACAGGACGUCAUAGAGGGUGAGAAUCCCGUAUGUGACCGGCGCGCACCCUCCACGUAGCUCCUUCGACGAGUCGAGUUGUUUGGGAAUGCAGCUCUAAAUGGGAGGUAAAUUUCUUCUAAAGCUAAAUAUUGGCCAGAGACCGAUAGCGCACAAGUAGAGUGAUCGAAAGAUGAAAAGCACUUUGGAAAGAGAGUUAAAAAGCACGUGAAAUUGUUGAAAGGGAAGCGCUUCCAACCAGACUCCGCGGCGGUGUUCCGCCGGUCUUCUGACCGGUCCACUCGCCGCCGUGGGGCCAACAUCGUCUGGGGCCGCCGGAUAAGACCGGAGGAAUGUAGCUCAUUGAGUGUUAUAGCCUCCGGUGAUGCGGCGCGUCCCGGGCGAGGUCCGCGCUUCGGCAAGGAUGUUGGCGUAAUGGUUGGCAGCGGCCCGUCUUGAAACACGGACCAAGGAGUCUAACAUCUAUGCGAGUGUUCGGGUGUCAAACCCCUACGCGCAAUGAAAGUGAACGGAGGUGGGAGCUUCGGCGCACCAUCGACCGAUCCUGAUGUCCUCGGAUGGAUUUGAGUAAGAGCAUAGCUGUUGGGACCCGAAAGAUGGUGAACUAUGCCUGAAUAGGGUGAAGCCAGAGGAAACUCUGGUGGAGGCUCGCAGCGGUUCUGACGUGCAAAUCGAUCGUCAAAUUUGGGUAUAGGGGCGAAAGACUAAU
rnacentral:rRNA from 2 species